GCUGACUUGAGGAAUACCUUAGCGAUGGGGAUACAUUUAAGUAUUGUUAUUUGGAUUUUGAUGCUGAAAUCAACUAAGGGACAAGUUAUAUACGACGAUUUGAAUGAAAGGCAGCAAAACUCCCUGAAUUCAGCGAUGUACUAUAUCAAAAACGAACUACAGCAAAUGACGAAAAGUGUUGAAAAUAUGCUUUUACAAAAAUUAGAAGAGAUGGAAAACAAUCUGCACACAAAAUUUAAAAAAGAAAAUGAGAAUGUGACUAAAUUUUUAGUCGAAAAUUUUACAGAAACUUUGGAAAAUAAACUUACGUGUUUCAGUCAUUCAACUCUCAUAUCAGGUGUCGAUUGUGCUGACAUUUUGAAGAGGUGCCCGAAUACAAGAGGGAAAGAUGGCGUGUACAACAUUAUGAAUGUUAUACAUAAAAAGAAGGCCGUCUACUGUGAUAUGACCACUGGCAAUGGAGGUUGGACGGUUAUUCAGCGGAGAGUAAAUGGAUCGGUGGACUUUUACCGUAACUGGACGGAAUACAAGAACGGGUUUGGAUUUGCUGAUCACGAGUAUUGGAUAGGAAAUGACAUGUUGCAUAGUCUGACGGCACUAAAUUCCCAGGAACUGCGGGUGGAUAUGGAAAGAUUCAACGGUGAACAAGCUUAUGCUGUAUACUCUAGUUUUUCUGUUGGGGACGAGGCCAGUAAAUAUAGUCUACAAGUGGAUGGAUACAGUGGGACUGCAGGAGAUAGCCUGUCGUACAGCAAUUACACAAAGUUUUCUACAUUGGACCAAGAUAACGACUUGAGCGGAGGUAGCUGUGCGACCCAUUACAAAACGGCAGGAUGGUUCCUCAGCUGUUUCUACGCCAACCCUAAUGGACAGUACACUUAUUCAGAGAAGAUUACUAUACCUGAAAAUUUCACAUACAUUGUGUGGUACAAUUGGAAAACUUCGUGGAUAUCUCUGAAAUCAAUACAGUUGAUGAUUCGUCCUUGAGCCUGACAUCUAGGUUUAACGUUAUCCUCGUUAUAUACACUGUACAUAUAUAAAGUCAAUAUCUCUCUCUCUCUCUCUCUCUCUCUCUCCACAUAGAAUUAUGUUAAUACAUUAUCUCUCUAUUUGUAUUAUUUAUCUUCAUGUUUAUUGUCAAUACUGGACUUUUUACACCAUUAUAUAAACUACUGUUGUUUAUUAUAUAUAUAUAUAAAUCAUAAUUUUUAUUGUUUUAAAAUCCUUAUAAAAGGGUUCUGCAUCGUGUUUUAUUUUGUACAAUUCCUUAAACAAUGUAAUGUCACCACUAAUAUUAUAAUGUUUGCAAAAUAACGAUCAAACUUAGAACUAUUCUUAGUAUUUUUUUUAAUAGAAAUCACAGUUCACAGUUCACAUUUGUAACGACACAAACUAACAAAAAUAGAUAAUAGUGAAUAUUUAUUAUGGCGAUAAAUUGUAAAUACAUAUUCGACAAUCUUCCUAAUGUUCCUUUUUAUAGCCGUUUUAUUUAUCUUUGUGUAACAUGGCAUUUUUUCUUGUCAAGUAAAUGUUUAUUAACAUU
rnacentral:misc_RNA from 1 species